UAUAGACCCAGCUGUUGGAAAGACGGACAGGAUGCUGCUGUAUCCCCACGGCCCCUUCCCAGAAAGCCUCUAGCAGACCUAUUACACAUAGUUUUGAAAAUGCACCAUUCUGCCUGGCUCUCCAGUGCUGGCUUGUUCUUCUGACGGUCAGAAGGAGCAUGGGCAGCCUUUUCUCGGCUGGAUAUGAGAUUAGUCACGUGGCCUGGAAGCAGACAGAACAGCCUUUGACAUACCGACAUGACAGAUGAACAAGUGAAUGGAGGCCUCUAGGAUUUCUCACUGAAACUGGAGCUCACCUGAUUGGCUAGAAGAGCUGACCAGGGCGUGGCUGUCUCAUUUCCCAGCACUGGGAUUAUGGGUCCCUGCUACCAUAUCCUGGGACCUGGGACUCUGACAUCGGUCAUCAUGCCUGGACAUCAAGU